rnacentral:rRNA from 1 species
GUCUACGGCCAUACCAACCUGAACGCGCCCGAUCUUGUCUGAUCUCGGAAGCUAAGCUCGGGCCUGGUUAGUACUUGGAUGGGAGAUAAUAUCUAUAUGCUAUACGUA